rnacentral:rRNA from 1 species
UACGUAGGCCCCAAGCGUUAUCCGGAAUUACUGGGCGUAAAGAGUGCGUAGGCGGAGUGGAAAGUCAGACGUGAAAGGCCGGGGCUUAACCCCGUGUUUGCGUCCGAAACUCCCACCUUGAAUCGGGGAGAGGUAAGCAGAAUAGUAUGAGUAGGGGUGCAAUCCGUUGAUACAUACUAGAAAUACCAAAAGCGAAGGCAGCUUACUGGAACCGCAUUGACGCUGAGGCACGAAAGCGUGGGGAGCGAAAAGG